rnacentral:rRNA from 1 species
NNNCGAAGUUAAGCGUGCUUGGGCGAGAGUAGUACUAGGAUGGGUGACCUCCUGGGAAGUCCUCGUGUUGCAUUCC